ensembl:snRNA U6 U6 spliceosomal RNA
GUGCUUGCUACAGCAGCACACACACUAAAACUGGAACAGUACAGAAGAGAUUACCAUGGCCCCUCCACCAAAGAUGACAGGAAAAUUUGUGAAGUAUACCAUAUUUUU